GACGAACGCUGGCGGCGUGCUUAACACAUGCAAGUCGAACGGUGACCUCGAGAGCUUGCUCUUGAGUGAUCAGUGGCGAACGGGUGAGUGACACGUGAGUAACCUGCCCCAGACUCUGGAAUAACCCCGGGAAACCGGAGCUAAUACCGGAUACGAAGUGGAGCCGCAUGGCUACUACUUGGAAAGUUUUUCGGUCUGGGAUGGACUCGCGGCCUAUCAGCUAGUUGGUGAGGUAACGGCUCACCAAGGCGACGACGGGUAGCCGGCCUGAGAGGGCGACCGGCCACACUGGGACUGAGACACGGUCCAGACUCCUACGGGAGGCAGCAGGGGGGAAUAUUGCACAAUGGGCGAAAGCCUGAUGCAGCGACGCCGCGUGAGGGAUGACGGCCUUCGGGUUGUAAACCGCUUUUAGUAGGGAAGAAGCCUUCGGGUGACGGUACCUGCAGAAAAAGGACCGGCUAACUACGUGCCAGCAGCCGCCGUAACAC
rnacentral:rRNA from 1 species